UUUAUACUCCCUCCACCCCAAAAUUCUUGUCUUAAAUUUGUCUAAUACGGAUGUAUUAAGUCACAUUUUAGUAUUAGAUACAUCCGUAUCUAGACUAAUCUAAGACAACAAUUUUAGGACGGAGGGACUACUAA
rfam:Triticum aestivum genome assembly, contig: Triticum_aestivum_CS42_TGACv1_scaffold_320798_4BL